rnacentral:tRNA from 1 species
CGGAAAUAGCUCAGUGGUAGAGCACCACCUUGCCAAGGUGGGGGUCGCGGGUUCGAAACCCGUUUUCCG